rfam:Bacillus sp. X1(2014), complete genome.
AUACCUUUUAAAUGAAGUCCAGAGAGGCUUACAAGGGUGUAUAAAUCGGAUUGGCUUCGAAUGAAGCCAAAAACGGAGAUAGGUAAGAUUUGUUACACCCUGAUCUUUUUGGAUCAGGGUGUUUUUUAU